rnacentral:lncRNA from 1 species
UUUUUUUUUUUUUUUUUUGCCAAAAUAAUUCAGUUCUAGAGAAAAUAUUCCCAAGGUAACACAAGCUGAAAUAAUAAUAUAUCUUUUCUAAUGUAUUUGAUGCCACAUUGACUUUUAAUUCAAAAAUCUAUUUCUACAUUUACAUGAUACCCCACCUCUAUUUUUUACUCUCUUUUAUUUGGCAUUACGGGAUAGAAAUUGUUAUGUGAGUUGCACCAUCUACUUAAAAAUAAUAAUAUUUCUAAACUUUAUUGUUCCAAAUUAGCGCUCUUUAUACAAGAAUUUCAACAUGGUUUAAUCAUUUGCCUUUGUUUUACCAUUGAUAGUAGAACGAUUAUUUUUUUUCAAGCAUAAAAAGAUUUUGAAUUUGGACAUAUAUUCUCCUCUUCUUUUCCAAUUAAUCAUAUAGCAUGCAUUAUUGUAUAAUCAUAGAAAUUACUGACUUUUUUCAUUUUUUUCUUUCCUCCCUCCUUACUGAGAUAUAUACUUGAAAGAAUAAAAUUGCUGUGAUAAAUUCUUAUAGUUUAUUUGUUUGAUGCUAUUUUUAAGAUGCCACAUAGUUAUUUAUUCAGAUUUAGAAGUAAUUUGGAAAAACUGAAGUACUACUAAGAAAGAAUUAGAAGCCUUUUGUAAAGGGGCACAAGAAAAGGUUUGAAAAGUCUUAUGCUAGUUUUUUUUUUCCCCUUUUGAACACUAAUAGGUUAUAAAGCGAAGUACUAGUAUUGUGGGAAAAUUUCGUAAACAAACUCACUUCGAUCGCUCAAAAAGCGAAAUCAAAUCUGCAUGCAAUUCUUUAUCCACUCUCUAUUCUUUAUCAGUUUUUUCAUUACCCAGUGUCCUCCUAAAACUCCCAUAUGGUCCGAUCCUAUUUCUUCCUCUAUUUUCGCUGAACCUCCAAAUCACAAAUCCUGGUAGAACCAUAACUUUAAAUUGCAUAAAUCAUAGAUUGCUUUUUCAGGAAAAUUGAUCCUUUCCCUAAAUUCACAUUCAGAGGAAACUUUUGGAGCAAAUAACAGUGAAUGUUGGGUGUAUUAGCCCCAGUCCAUAGCCAUGGGUAUCACCUUAUUUUUGGCAGUGCAUGGUUCACACGGUAUGCCAUCAACUGCUUCAAGAAUGAGAAAGUAGCGAGGUGAGGCAGAAUUGAAUCCGAAAGCCAGCUUAUAGAAAAAUGCGUAGGACGCCUGCUAAAGAAACUCGAGCUAAAAUAAACAGUAUUACAUCGACCCACAUAACAAAAACAGUACAAAAAUGUACUAACAUGGACCACCACGUUUUCAUAGAAUACAUAUUAUCCUCUGAUUGCGGCCUACCAGCUGCAAAAAAUUGCCUCCACUACCAAAGAAUAUUACAAAAAUAUUAAAAAGAAAUAUCCACACCCUA